GACGAACGCUGGCGGCGUGCUUAACACAUGCAAGUCGAACGGAAAGGCCCUGCUUUUGUGGGGUGCUCGAGUGGCGAACGGGUGAGUAACACGUGAGUAACCUGCCCUUGACUUUGGGAUAACUUCAGGAAACUGGGGCUAAUACCGGAUAGGAGCUCCUGCUGCAUGGUGGGGGUUGGAAAGUUUCGGCGGUUGGGGAUGGACUCGCGGCUUAUCAGCUUGUUGGUGGGGUAGUGGCUUACCAAGGCUUUGACGGGUAGCCGGCCUGAGAGGGUGACCGGCCACAUUGGGACUGAGAUACGGCCCAGACUCCUACGGGAGGCAGCAGUGGGGAAUAUUGCACAAUGGGCGGAAGCCUGAUGCAGCAACGCCGCGUGCGGGAUGACGGCCUUCGGGUUGUAAACCGCUUUCGCCUGUGACGAAGCGUGAGUGACGGUAAUGGGUAAAGAAGCACCGGCUAACUACGUGCCAGCAGCCGCGGUGAUACGUAGGGUGCGAGCGUUGUCCGGAUUUAUUGGGCGUAAAGGGCUCGUAGGUGGUUGAUCGCGUCGGAAGUGUAAUCUUGGGGCUUAACCCUGAGCGUGCUUUCGAUACGGGUUGACUUGAGGAAGGUAGGGGAGAAUGGAAUUCCUGGUGGAGCGGUGGAAUGCGCAGAUAUCAGGAGGAACACCAGUGGCGAAGGCGGUUCUCUGGGCCCUUCCUGACGCUGAGGAGCGAAAGCGUGGGGAGCGAACAGGCUUAGAUACCCUGGUAGUCCACGCUGUAAACGGUGGGUACUAGGUGUGGGGUCCAUUCCACGGGUUCCGUGCCGUAGCUAACGCUUUAAGUACCCCGCCUGGGGAGUACGGCCGCAAGGCUAAAACUCAAAGGAAUUGACGGGGCCCCGCACAAGCGGCGGAGCAUGCGGAUUAAUUCGAUGCAACGCGUAGAACCUUACCUGGGUUUGACAUGGAUCGGGAGCGCUCAGAGAUGGGUGUGCCUCUUUUGGGGUCGGUUCACAGGUGGUGCAUGGCUGUCGUCAGCUCGCGUCGUGAGAUGUUGGGUUAAGUCCCGCAACGAGCGCAACCCUUGUUCACUGUUGCCAGCACGUUAUGGUGGGGACUCAGUGGAGACCGCCGGGGUCAACUCGGAGGAAGGUGGGGAUGACGUCAAGUCACCAUGCCCCUUAUGUCCAGGGCUUCACGCAUGCUACAAUGGCUGGUACAGAGAGUGGCGAGCCUGUGAGGGUGAGCGAAUCUCGGAAAGCCGGUCUCAGUUCGGAUUGGGGUCUGCAACUCGACCUCAUGAAGUCGGAGUCGCUAGUAAUCGCAGAUCAGCAACGCUGCGGUGAAUACGUUCCCGGGGCU
rnacentral:rRNA from 1 species